AACGAACGCUAGCGGCAUGCCUAACACAUGCAAGUCGAACGAGACCUUCGGGUCUAGUGGCGCACGGGUGCGUAACGCGUGGGAACCUGCCCUUAGGUUCGGAAUAACUCCCCGAAAGGGGUGCUAAUACCGGAUAAUGUCUUCGGACCAAAGAUUUAUCGCCUUUGGAUGGGCCCGCGUUGGAUUAGCUAGUUGGUAGGGUAAAAGCCUACCAAGGCGACGAUCCAUAGCUGGUCUGAGAGGAUGAUCAGCCACACUGGGACUGAGACACGGCCCAGACUCCUACGGAAGGCAGCAGUGGGGAAUAUUGGACAAUGGGCGAAAGCCUGAUCCAGCAAUGCCGCGUGAGUGAUGAAGGCCUUAGGGUUGUAAAGCUCUUUUACCCGGGAUGAUAAUGACAGUACCGGGAGAAUAAGCUCCGGCUAACUCCGUG
rnacentral:rRNA from 1 species